CCUUUGCUUACUAGAUCUGAUCAUGAUUUUGUUAAACUGGCAUGUAACCAGGGCCUAGGGAUGUGGAGUCGCUAAAAACAUUUGUUUUAGAAGAAGCAGAAAAGGCAGCAACAAAAGCGCAGCUUGAGAGUGAGAAAGAGUUAUGAUAGUCUGUCAGUCUUGGUUCUCGUCAUGGAGGCUGAACGACCGUCAGCCAUUAACAAUGAAAGCAGGAAAGCAAUGAAAGCUACAUCCCCAUGUUGUUAUGAAGUUUUGGCAGAUACUUUAACGGUGUUCAAUUAUUUUUUGUUUUACUACCGGAUGUUUGAACAGAGAGAUGCCACAUAAACAGAUCUAAGCUUGUAGGUGUUUUUAUAUGCAUAUCAAAUUUAUUUUGCAAUGAACAUUUUGAGAUUGUCAAUGUUAUGCACUAAUGUUAUGAUGACACUA